GCCGCUCCCCGGACGAUCGCAGUUGCUCUUUUGAGUGAUUGAGGAAAGUCCGGACGCCAAAGGGCAGCGCGCCUUAUGAAUAAUGAGGGACGGUCGGUUCAAGCCGGUCGGACGGAAAGUGCAGCAGAAAACAAACCGCCGUGGUCUCUCAGGAGAUUAGGGUAAGGGUGAAAAGGUGGGGUAAGAGCCCACCGCUCCGCGGGUAACCAAGGAGGCAUUGCAAACCCCGCGUGGCGCAAGACAUAACAGGGGAAGGGUAGCCCGCCCGUUCAGGAUCCCCGGGUAUUAGUCGCACCAUUCCGCAAGGGAGGUGCCUCACUUGUGAGGUAAGAUAAAUGAUCGUACAUUACUGCAUUUGUAGUAAGGACAGAAUCCGGCUUAUAGGGGAGCGGCAACU
rnacentral:RNase_P_RNA from 1 species